rnacentral:rRNA from 1 species
GACGAACCGUCCUAACGUUGUUCGGAAUCACUGGGCUUAAAGGGCGCGUAGGCGGGUCACCAAGUCUGGGGUGAAAUCUUUCGGCUCAACCGGAAAAUAGCCUUGGAUACUGGUGGUCUGGAGGGUGGUAGGGGCAUGUGGAACUUCCGGUGGAGCGGUGAAAUGCGUUGAUAUCGGAAGGAACGCCGGUGGCGAAAGCGACGUGCUGGACCACUUCUGACGCUGAGGCGCGAAAGCCAGGGGAGCAAACGGG